ensembl:misc_RNA Metazoa_SRP Metazoan signal recognition particle RNA
GCUGGGCACAGUGGCUCAUGCCUGUAAUCCCAGCAACUUUGGGAGGCUGAGGUGGGAGGAUCACCUGAGGUCAGGAGUUCGAGACUAGCCUGACCAACAUGGUGAAACCCUAUCUCUA